rnacentral:rRNA from 1 species
AGCGAACGCUGGCGGCAGGCCUAACACAUGCAAGUCGAACGGAUCCCUCGGGAUUAGUGGCGGACGGGUGAGUAACACGUGGGAACGUGCCCUUUGGUUCGGAACAACUCAGGGAAACUGGAGCUAAUACCGGAUGUGCCCUUCGGGGGAAAGAUUUAUCGCCAUUGGAGCGGCCCGCGUCUGAUUAGCUAGUUGGUGAGGUAACGGCCCACCAAGGCGACGAUCAGUAGCUGGUCUGAGAGGAUGAUCAGCCACACUGGGACUGAGACACGGCCCAGACUCCUACGGGAGGCAGCAGUGGGGAAUCUUGCGCAAUGGGCGAAAGCCUGACGCAGCCAUGCCGCGUGAAUGAUGAAGGUCUUAGGAUUGUAAAAUUCUUUCAGCGGGGACGAUAAUGACGGUACCCGCAGAAGAAGCUCCGGCUAACUUCGUG